rnacentral:misc_RNA from 1 species
GUGAACUCAACACUACGUUUAACUAAGAAGUUCGAUCCAUUACAAAAACAAAACUAUUCCUUUACUGAUGCCGCUACCAUCAGAGGCCUUGGUUCAUUUCAUUCCAUACGCAAAACAAUAUACUGCAAACAGCAUUCAACAUUUUGAGUUUAACAAUUCAGUUAUCCAUCUAUACAUUCCACCACUGCAAACUACAAAAGGUAACUUUCUUCACCAAACGAACAUAGCUUGUGAGUUUCUGCAAAUAUUUUGCAAAGAGAGUGAAGGACCGCGAAAUAUGGUCAUCAGCUUGAAGAACCAUCAUCCAAACAGUGAUCCCAGAUUAACUUCAAGUUGUCUUCCAGCAUUUUAAGCACCAGGUUUUCGUCAAUCGUUUCCUCCUGCAAUUGGGAUAAAAUCCCAGACAUUUUCAGGUUAACUUCCUGUGCAACCUCACCAGUUGAAGAUCUGAAAUCAUAUCGAUCUGCAUGUCUAAGCUUAAGCCUAAUUGACGAAUUCCCAUAUGAUUUUGCAGUUGUGUGCCAGACACCGGUAACAGCAUAUCGACUCACUGAAGAAUCCUCGCCAAAGGGCCAUCUCAGCCCACCCUUAACUUCAGAGUCCAACACAGCUGAACCGAUAAGACUUUUAAUUUCAUUGAUCUCCUCAUCAGAUAAACCCGUCAUGAUUUUCUUGGUGUUUAACAUCAACCUCAGGUCUAAGCUUUUGCCAGGACAGCUCAUGUCUGCAACCAUGUUGCGUACUUGGUUCAGCUCAAUCUUAUGGAGCUGAAUUUUCUCCUGAUCCUUGACCACCGUACAUUUGCAGGUGACAGUUGAAUCAGCGCGCAUGUUGUCUGAAAGCUUGACGUAGUAUAAUUCCUUCUCCUCCACAUAUUGUAAG